rnacentral:lncRNA from 1 species
UUCCGAAAGCUGAAAAAUGUCACUAUUGAUUACCUGGAAGCAAUCAGAAAUUUUCGUCAAAUUUUGAAAGAUUUUGGUGUGCUUUUCUUUUCGGUGGCUGCAUCGAAGUUCAGGGAAGGAAGGCUGCCCUCAUAGCUGGUGGUUAAUGGCAAUUCUGCAAAUAACUGACGCACGCAGACAUAGUUAAGACUGGAAGAAGGAGCCUUCAGAGACUACUAAAUAAGAAAGAAAGAGUGUUAGGCAGUUCCUGGAGUCUGUGAGAGUAUUUUAGAGAUAUACAGGUACAAAGUACGUGCUUUCCCUGCUCUUACACUUCUCUGUAGACGUCCAUUGCUGACCUUGGUCCCAGACAAUAGAAAUCUGGGUUUUAAUUUGGGAGACGUUCAGUGUAAGGGGAUUUGAUUUGCAUGUGUUCACCUGGGGCAGACAGCCCUCCUGUUCAUGAUUCACCUGAUGCAAGCACUUGAGUGCCAAGCACAACGCAAUCACCUGGUGGCUGGGACAGGUCUCGUGUGCUGGGGCGAGGACACCUGGUUCUCUUCUCAUGGGUGGGGAAGUAGUCCAUGGAAACAGGAGCACUGAGAGAGGGAGAGCAAAUUCUUUCCAAAUGUGAUAUAAAAUCAAGCCCCAGAGACAAGAGCAGUGCUUUGUGGAGGAGUCACCGAGGCGCAGUGCACCAACCCCAGCGGGCGGAGGACGCAUUGUGCUCGGCACCGCUUGCUGCCAGGGAGCCCGGCUACAGGAGGAGCCCUCGCUGCAGCAGCUGCAGGAAAUUAAAUCCACAUAGAGGUAAUUUUCUAUCAGAGAGUGACCUUGGUAACCAAAGAAAAACUCUGCACCCUGACUCUUUUACUGCUUUCCAAAGGCAGACCCCAUGUCAGCCCUUAACGUGAAGGCAGUCCCAGCAGCCUGGUGUUCCUGGGCAUCCCUGGGUGCAUCCCUACUCUGCUCAGGGCUGGCAUUGCACUCCUUGGUGCAUCUUCUAGUACUAGAAUUUCCUGGAUCAUCAUAGCUAUGUGUUCUGUCACAUCUAACUGCUUGCCUCGGAAGCAGCUCACUUUGGUUACAGCACAGCCAAUAAGCAGGUUAAUUAACCCAAAGCACAUUGCCCAAAGUGUUCAUUAGCUCCAGCCAUCCUUCGUCUCAGAUAAAGUCCUGGUUUCCCAGGUGGGCUGGGAUGCUUUCCAAGCAGACUCUGGGGAUUUUUCCAGCCCUCCCCAUCCUCCGGGGACACAGCUCUGCACAGGGAGACCUGUGCUGCUGGGAGAGCUUCGUUUCUCCAUUGGAAAAGCAAAGAAACUGUACUGGGACAACAGAUUAAACCAGGAAAGGUUUUUGGGAUGUAGGGGGUGUCAUCUGCCCAUCGGUGCCAGGGCUGGUCUGGACACAGGUGGGUAAUGGGCAGGUUAAAGCAGUUUUGGAGAUGGCCCAAUACCUACGGGGACCUUUUCUACCUUUAUUUCAUUUAUUUUUAUUUUU